AAUGAACGCUGGCGGCGUGCUUUACACAUGCAAGUCGAGCGAGGCGGCCCGCAAGGGCCAGUCGAGCGGCGAACGGGUGAGUAACACGUGGGUGACCUGCCCUCAGCUCUGGGAUAAGCCCGGGAAACUGGGUCUAAUACCGGAUAUGACUCCACGGUGCAUGUCGUGGGGUGGAAAGCCUUGUGCGGCUGAGGAUGGGCCCGCGGCCUAUCAGCUU
rnacentral:rRNA from 1 species